rnacentral:rRNA from 1 species
UACGUAGGGGGCGAGCGUUGUCCGGAUUUAUUGGGCGUAAAGCGUCCGCAGGCGGUCAAGUAAGUUCGAGGUGACAGUGCGUGGCUUAACCGCGCAAGGUCCUUGAAAACUGCUCGACUUGAGGGCUUGAGAGGGACCCGGAAUUCCGGGUGGAGUGGUGAAAUGCGUAGAGAUCCGGAGGACCACCAAAGGCGCAGGCAGGGUCCGGGCAAGCCACUGACGCUCAUGGACGAAAGCUAGGGGAGCGAACGGG